CAGCACGCUACUGCAUUGCAGUAGAGAAGAGCUAUCUCGUUGGAAGUCUUUUGGAGUGAGAAUUUCAAAAAUAGCAGAAUCCACACACAAAAAAACAACGAAAAUAUAUGCAAUAUCGCCACCUAGCUGCACGUUAAUCACAGACUUGGCAGAAAUAAUAAUAAUUAAUCUAUUUGGAUACUUGAAAGAUGACGAAUUAGAUUUAUGCAGGCAAGUGUGUACUCAAUGGAAAGAUGUAAUCGAAAACAUAAUGUAUAACCGAGUAACAGCAAUUACAAAGAAAAUUCCUCUUACUGUAUUAGUCACUGCAAUGUACGAAUCAGAAAUUCUACGUCCCUACGUCGGUUCGACCAUAAUUUCCAAUUUAAUUGGUUUAUUUCAGUAAAUCGACCUGGUCUUAUGGUUCUAUCUAGAUAUGGUCUAAAUGGAUUCGGUGAAAAUACAGUUGCUCCAAUUCCUAACCAUAUUUACUUUAUGCAUUUAAUGCCUGGAAACUGUUAUGGAAUCGCUUUUCCUCCACAUUGUAUAUACUCAUCAAUUGAAAUAACGGAAAUACAAAUAAUAUUGUUUCCAAACAUUUUAAGUUUUAAAAUUUUUAAUCAUUCGUUUACUCUACAUUCAAGCGCAUCUAUACUUAAACAGAACCGUAAUUAAGAUUUCCUGUCAGUUUUUAUCAUCCGAAGACAAUCAAAUGCCAAAUUUUAAUUAAUUCGGUUUAAUUAAUUCAAUAAAUCCAUUUCCACCAGACAAACAAAAGUCGUUCUCUACAUAUAA